GGUGCCCGAUGCCGAGGUCGUUCCCGAGGCGGUGUCCUUGUCCGAUGCCAUUCCCGAGGCCGUUCCUGAGGCCAUUCCCGAGGCGGUGCCCGAUGCCGAGGUCGUUCCCGAGGCGGUGUCCUUGUCCGAUGCCGUUCCUGAGACCGUUCCCGAGGCGGUGCCCGAUGCCGAGACCGUUCCCGAGGCGGUGCCCGAUGCCGAGGUCGUUCCCGAGGCGGUGUCCUUGUCCGAUGCCGUUCCUGAGGCCAUUCCCGAGGCGGUGCCCGAUGCCGAGGUCGUUCCCGAGGCGGUGUCCUUGUCCGAUGCCAUUCCCGAGGCCGUUCCUGAGACCGUUCCCGAGGCGGUGCCCGAUGCCGAGGUCGUUCCCGAGGCGGUGUCCUUGUCCGAUGCCAUUCCCGAGGCCGUUCCUGAGGCCAUUCCCGAGGCGGUGCCCGAUGCCGAGGUCGUUCCCGAGGCGGUGUCCUUGUCCGAUGCCGUUCCCGAGGCCAUUCCCGAGGCGGUGCCCGAUGCCGAGGUCGUUCCCGAGGCGGUGUCCUUGUCCGAUGCCGUUCCUGAGGCCAUUCCCGAGGCGGUGCCCGAUGCCGAGGUCGUUCCCGAGGCGGUGUCCUUGUCCGAUGCCAUUCCCGAUGCCGUUCCUGAGGCCAUUCCCGAGGCGGUGCCCGAUGCCGAGGUCGUUCCCGAGGCGGUGUCCUUGUCCGAGGCCGUUCCUGAGACCGUUCCCGAGGCGGUGCCCGAUGCCGAGGUCGUUCCCGAGGCGGUGUCCUUGUCCGAUGCCAUUCCCGAGGCGGUGCCCGAUGCUGUUCCGGAGGCCGAUGCGCGGCCCGAGAUGGUUCCGGAGGCGAUACCCGUGUCCAAGGCCGUUCCCGAGGCGGUGCCCUUGUCUGAGGCCGUUCCCGAUGCCGUUCCCAAUGCCGUGACCGGGCCAUCGCCACAGCCUGCUCCUUACUGGCUCCCCGAUUGGCUGGUUCCGUUCGGGUCACUCAAAUGGCGAAUUCCUCCCUGGCCGUCUGCACAACGAGAAUGGACUGAUCCACCGUGGCCACCUGAACUGCCUGGCCCCUCGUGGUCCCCUGAACUUUCGGGUCCACCGUGGCCACCUGAACUGCCUGGUCCCUCGUGGUCCCCUGAACUUUCGGGCCCACCAUGGCCCCCUGAUCUGACCGAGCCACCUGGGCUACCAGGGGAGCCAUCGCUGCCGGUCCCAGUUCCCCUACACGGGCCUGGCCCGCCAUCCCUCCCCCUGUUCUGCCUCCACCAGUCCACCUCCCUCCUGGUCUCUUUGUUU
ensembl:lncRNA